rnacentral:sRNA from 1 species
CAUAUCUUAAAGAUAUUGUGAAGCAUUUUAUUUAAAUUUUAAAUGAUAUUGAAAUAUUCCUCUCCUAAACGCUUUCAAGGAUCGUGUGGAUUUAUAUGAAAAAAGGAAACUGCGUAAAUCUCGCCGCCACUACAUUGAGGUUAUAUCGAAACGUUUUCCCCAAAACCUUUCCCUUCCUAAUUGUCCCACCUAUCCUGAUUUCGUUUCCCUCUACU